CCUACGUGAGGCUGCAGUGAGGAAUAUUGGUCAAUGGCCGAGAGGCUGAACCAGCCAAGUCGCGUGAGUGAAGACGGACCUACGGGUUGUAAACCUCUUCUGUCGGGGAGCAAAGCGAACCACGUGUGGUUCAUUGAGAGUACCCGAAGAAAAAGCAUGGGCUAACUCCGUGCCAGCAGCCGCGGUAAUACGGGGGAUGCGGGCGUUAUCCGGAUUUAUUGGGUGAAAGGGGUGCGCAGGGGGAGGGGCAAGUCAGCGGUCAAAUCGCGGGGCUCAACCCCGUACUGCCGUUGAAACUGCAUCCCUGGAGUGCGGGAGAGGUAUGCGGAAUGCGUGGUGUAGCGGUGAAAUGCAUAGAUAUCACGCAGAACUCCGAUUGCGAAGGCAGCAUACCGGCGCGCAACUGACGCUCAUGCACGAAAGCGUGGGUAUCGAACAGGAUUAGAUACCCCGGUAGUC
rnacentral:rRNA from 1 species